UUUUUUUUUUUCUUUUCUGGACAAUAUUCCAGUAAUUAAAUGGAUAUGGUUUACCUCAUCUAUGAAAAUGUAUGUAUGUCUGCUAAAUCUCAAUACAUCUGGUCAGUUAUUGAAUUUAUCAUAUUCAUUCAAAUAACACAAUCAUUCCAAGAGAAAAUAUAUACAGAAAUACAUCAAUUCCCUAGAAAAAAAGCAAUUCUAAACAGCAAGUCAUAGCCAUGUCAAUCAUAGCAAACAAACUUUAAAUUCUGUGAAGUUAUUACUGGGCUCAGAUAUUGUAUUAUAUAUUAAAAAAUGUAAAUACAAACAUGGAGGUUAUACAAAGAGUUUCCAUAAAGAAAGCAUCACUGCAAAAAAAAAAAUUAGGGUAAUGAAAUUAGAUAGAUACACCACAGCAUCAUGGGUGACAAGAGUUGAUUUGCUAUAAAGAGACAAUACUAAGUAAGUAAGGAUGAUGCUGAGCUUUCCCAGAGAGAAUACGGUGUAAUGUCAAACAAAACAAUGCAAGUUUUUAGCCAAAACAAUAUUCAAAGAUGCAUAUGGAAAUGUGAGAGAUUGUUUAAAUUAUUAUAGAAAACAAAAUCUAGGUGGCAUAAUUUUACCCUCUGCUUCCACUACAACUUUUUAAAGUCAGUCAACAUUGUAUCAUUUACUUUGAAGACCUGGUCUUACCAAACAAAAAUUGAAAGGCAUUGUCGCAUGCUCUACAGAAGAAGCACUUAGGUCAAUUUUUUUUAAGUAUGUCAAUCUGAUUUUUUUUUCAUAUUGUUAAAUAUUUAUCUAAACUAACUGCAAAUAUUAUUUGCAACCAGGCUGCAUACAGAAGGAUGUUGCUUGUGUUUUUUUUAUUAGAAAGCAUAAGAAAAUCUCUGAAUUAGAAGAGAGAAUAUAUUCCUCAAAGACCCACUUUCAAGAGUCCAAGUCAAAUUAGGCAGCAAAAAUAUAAUUUUGGCUGAAAAUGUAUUUGAAACUGUGUCUUUUAAAUCACUAGUCUUUGAGUUAUUUAUCUGUCUUUAUCCUGGGUGUGGAAACUCUCAUUGCCCGAGCUCCAUUUUUAAUUCCCCAGGUGGAUAUUAUGCCUUCAAAAUAUAGUAGAUGAACAUAUUUUUUUGGCUAAGUAUGCUCAUGUUGAUCUGCCAAAUGGCCUGAUGCCUGCUAACAUAUUGGUCAGACACAUGUCUUUGGGUGCAAGUGCCAAGAAAAUUUCUCACACUUGCAUGCCACAUCUUCCAAAGGAAGUAGCAGUGAGAAGUUAUCACUACAUAUGCCUUUUCCUUUCAGCUUUGCCACACGUAUUUAGGUGAACCACACAACCAGCAACAAAAGCCCAACAAAAGGGAAAGCAAGGAGUUUGCUGAUGUUCAUGAAUUUUUCAUAAUGUAAAUAGGAAUAACUUCGGCACCUUUGACAAUCCUAGGUGUGAUUGCACUGCUGGGGCAAGGGCGAUGCAGCUCUUGACGUGAGCAGCUUCAGGCUGUAACUGGGAGAUGAGUUUGGGGGGCUGGUGAGAGGUACCUCAGCAGGUGGCAGUGUUCCUUCUCCCUGCCCUGGCCCUCAAACAGCCUUCAGCCCUUCCUCCCCAGAAGGACGAUAAUCUGAUGAGAUGGCAGAAUGCUAAUUAUCCAGGAAGAGUGUGUGUUGCUGUUUUAUAGUGGGCGAAAAACAAACAAACAAACACACAAGCACACCUGUGAAAUUUAAGCUGCUGUAAAUGAUUGAAGUCAUGGCCAAUGGUGAAAGAAGUUAAUUAAACAGGAUAUGCAAGUCUUUUAAUCACAUUCUGAUCAAAGAUGAAACCUCUUUAUGUGUCUAGAGAAUAGGAUCUCUAAAUUUUUCAGAGCAAAUACAUUCACAGAAAAUAUGAUGUAUGAGAUCAAAUAAGGCUGCCUUUUUGAUCCAAAUGUAGACAGUCUAAAUAUUUUUGUUUGCUGUAGUUAUAUCCUUGAUUUGUAUUAUGUUUGAAUGAAGAAAUAUCAAAUCCAAAAUUUUAAAAAUUAUGUUCUGAACUAAUGUAAUUCCAAUAUUUUUAAUCACUAAAAAUAGCUGCAUAUUUCUUAAAAAAAACAGUAAGAAUUAAUUCUACUAUGGACCAGAAAUCUCUGUCAGGGUGUGUUCAGUAGACCAAGCUGAUUGUAAAGACAACAGGAUAGAAAACCAAUAAGGUAGAAUUGGAAGUAAAAUUGUUCCUGGAAAAAAUUCACCAUAGGAAAAAAACCAACAACCACCAAAAAAACCCCAAAAAACUUAGAACACCUACUUCAAUUUUGAAGAGAGCUUUCACAUAUGUAAGCAAAUUUUUUGUCAACUUCCUUUUAGAAUUUCUAAAAUGCCAGGGUGUAACAUACCAGGGAUUGCAAGUAAAAGUUAACUAAAAGUGAGAAUUUACAGUGUUUUUUGGCUGUGAAUAGAGUUAGAAAUACCAAAGAUUCUCAUGAGAAAAGUUUUUACUUCUGAAGCUGCCAGUCAGGUUUUAUUUUUGAAUAGCUAAUAUUUGUGUAAGCAUUCAAAAAUGCAUGAUUGAUCUGAUUUUAACCUUUUGAGAUUUAUCCUUCUCUAGCACGAACUGAUCUUAAUCGGAGUAGUUCCUGAAGUGCAGAAAGGAGUAAUGUGUCAAUAUAUAUUUCAUUGACAUCAGGGAGGAAGAAUUGUUUAAACAUUAAAAGAUAGGUAUGGAAGCAAAAUAAAUGUGGGUAGAAAUUCCUAAAUGACAAAAAAUGUUGCAUUUUCUAUACUGCUUGAGUACAAAUAAGUUAUCUGAAAUACAGAAUUUUACAUUAGUUGUAAUGUGUCAAAAUAUCCCAUUAGAAGAAACACCAAAACCGUAAGCAUUAUGUAGCUGAAACUAAACAAUAAGUCAGUCCAUAGUAUAAAAACUGGGAUUACAAUACAUCAAAAUAAACACAAAUCAAAAUUCACAAAUUGUUGCAUAGCAACAUCCAAAACAGAUUCCUGAGACCUGUCUAAACUGCACCCUGAGGAAUGAAAUAGGGAGAAAAUAGUGGCUGAGCCCCUUUCCUCACCACUCUGAUCCACAUUGCCCUGGAUAUUUAAGAAUUUCAGUUUCAGUUUCUAAAAAAGUCUUUUGAUCACCUGCGUCAAAAUUACCAACUGAAAUGUCUCUGCAUAAUGAGGUACUUGUCAGAAAAAAUAUAGGAAUAAAUACAAAGUAAAGGGCCUUUGUACAUGUAUGAAGAAAAAAAACAGUAUUUGAACAGAAUAUCUGAUUGUGAAAGUUGGUUUGAAGAUUUGUGUCAUUAUCUACUUUCUAAUAUCAUUUGUGGAUAGGAAAAGAUAGAAAUAUAGUAGUAAUUAGCUAAUUAGAACACAUGGUGUGUGGGCUUGUUGAGAAGGCUGCAACAUUGUCUAGCAGAGAGAAACUAAAAAAGUGCCUGACUAACUAUUGUAAGCUAAUUGCCCGUGGGGUCAGCAAAGGAUUCAGCACCUCACACAAACCCAGCCCUCCCCACCUCCACCCCCUGGCACAGCUGGUUAGACUUCUCAUGCUCUGGCUUUCCUUUCCUUUGUUUUCACCCCCACCCUAAAUAUAAAGCACCACAGAGAUCUAAAAACUUUACCAAAAGACAAGAAUCUCAAGCUCUUUAUCUGAUUUCUUAUGAUAACAUUCACAACAGCCUUGAAAUCAAAGGAUACAACCCCAGACACAUUUUGAGAAGGUUUGAGGGACAUAUGCUGUGCAGCUCCUCUUUAAUGGGAUCUAGAGGGCAAGAUGAUAGAAAACCCUCAGGAGCCUCUCUGGUAAAUCCAGCUCUGUAAGCAAAGUGCUCAUGGUUGUUUUCACUUAAUUGCUAAGUUUGGAGGAAGAUGAAACAAAAAGGAAUAAAGGAAGGGAGUCAGAUAGAUGUGACUUAAUGUCACUGAAUUAACUGGGAGCAAAAAAUCAAGAAAGAGCUGGCAAUGCAUAAAGCAUUUCUAUUUUAGGUCCUGAUAUUCUUUUUUACAUAAAUUACUCAUCUUUUAAAACUAUAGACCUCUAAAAUUAGCAAAUAUUGUUAUUUUGAAUGACAAUUCAGUUCAUGGGUAGCUGCCUAAAAUAUAUCAAGACAAACUAGCAAUUAUUGGCCUUUUUUAUUCCACUUUCUGGAAAGAGUAAAAGUGUUUCAGUCAUGACAGCUCCUUUCCCUUGCUGAGCCUGUAGCUCUGGAAGUAGAGAACUAACUCACAAUCUGGAGAUUUCAACUACAACAUAAUCAAUGAAUAUCAGUCAAGUACAUCUUAAUUUGGUCAAGAAAUCAUAUACUUCUGGAAGAAAAAAUAGUUUGUUCCUGGAUCUUUCCUGUCAUCUCAGUUUUUAAAAUGUCUUUAUUUGUAUGCCAACAUUAAAGUAUACCUUCACUAAGGCCCUUAAAUCAAACUUUAUUCUGUUUUGAAAUUAUUCUCUAACACCUUGUCUGUCAUUCACUGGUAAGUUGAAUGCUCCAACAGCCGCAAGAGCUCAGAUUAGCAGGCUGGUGAGCUGAUAUAAAAAACCCAUACACCCCAAAAUAUCAUAAAACCAACACAAAAAGCCUACCUUUCUUAUUACUUCUUUUCAUCUUAUACGACAAUUCAAACUGCUAUCUGAUUCCCCUGAAGCUCUGUGUAGCUAUAUAUACUCUGAUUUAUCUAUAUCUAUUUAUAAAUAAUCUCAGAAACAUACAUUCUGUUAAAAAUCACCCUUGAAACUGGUGAUGUAACAAUGUUAUUCAUCCUUAAUAUUGAUGAAACUUUUUAAAUGAAAGAAUCUUAUUCCAAUUCAAUACUUCUAGGGGAAUUAAGUAAUUGUCUAAAUACUCCUUGAAAGGCAGAUGUGUAAACUGAGUAAAUAUGAGCUCUGAAAAGUC
rnacentral:lncRNA from 1 species